rnacentral:lncRNA from 1 species
UCGGAGGAAGAGGAUGGUGGUGACAAUAACGAGCCAGACGAAGAGGAUGGUGGUGACAAUAACGAGCCAGACGAAGAGGAUGGUAGUGACAAUGAUGUUGAAGACGCCAUUCUCGAUAUUUCAAAGGAUGUGCAGAGGGAAUAUGGUGAUGUUGACAUGGAUGAUGAUGAUGCGGAGAUGUAUGCACAUGCUGUGGAGGCCGAG